CCACCAUUGCAAGCUUUUAUGGAAUCACACAGACCACUUCUUUCAGACGUUUCCUCAUCAGCAUUUCGUCCAAAUUUCCAUAACCUCUGAAAUUUACCAGAAACAGAUCUCCGCUCCUUCAAGCCUGUUGUACAUUUACCUCCAGAGGCAUCGUUAGGUUCAGAUUUUAAACAGGCCUGCUGUGGUGGAUCCAAAAUUUGGGGAGGUGAGUUUCCCAGAUUGGUUCCAGACACCUCACCUCUAUUGGCAUCAACAUUAGUUUCAUCUGCAUAUGAGUUUGAUGCAACACUACUCUCGGAUCUAUUUUCAGGAUCACCAGCAUGUAUAGGACUUGGGGGAUCUG
rnacentral:lncRNA from 1 species